rnacentral:tRNA from 1 species
GCCCGGCUAGCUCAGUCGGUAGAGCAUGAGACUCCUAAUCUCAGGGUCAUCGAUUUGAGCCCCACGUUGGGCG